GAUCUGGCUCAAGACGAACGCUGGCGGCGCGCCUAACACAUGCAAGUCGAACGAGAGAGAGGGAGCUUGCUUCCUCAAUCGAGUGGCGAACGGGUGAGUAACGCGUGAGGAACCUGUCUCAAAGAGGGGGACAACAGUUGGAAACGACUGCUAAUACCGCAUAAGCCCACGACCCGGCAUCGGGUUGAGGGAAAAGGAGCAAUCCGCUUUGAGAUGGCCUCGCGUCCGAUUAGCUAGUUGGUGAGG
rnacentral:rRNA from 1 species